CUGGACGCUGGUGGUAAUAUUACUGAAGGGUAACAAGCUUAUGAGGAACCAUCUGAAAGACUGUGAGCUCCUUUUUUUACAAUAUUACAUUUGAACCAAUAGGCAUUUAGUCAAAAUGCUUUGAUUAAAAGUCAUUGGCUUGAGGCUGGAGAGAUGGCUCAGAGGUUGAUCUUCCAGAGGUCCUGAGUUCAAUUCCCAGCAACCACAUGGUGGUUCACAACCAUCCAUAGUGAGAUCUGGUGCCCUUUUCUGGCACACAGGCAUACAUGGAGGCAGAAUGUUGUAUACAUAAUAAAUAAAUUUAAAAAAUAGUUUCAAUAGUUUUCUUUUUUGGUACUGGGAUGUUUUAGUAGUAGAGCCCUUUUGGAGGUCCUGAGUUCAACUCCCAAGCACCAGAACAAGCAAACAGACAAACAAACAAGGAAAAAGAACAGAGAAAAGUGAAAUGCCUGCGAUAUAUUUUAUAAAUAUAUAAGGUAAGAACACAAUCCCUUAAGUUUUUGAUGGAGGAGCAAUCUGUGUAUUAUAAAGGGUUUAAGGUAUUAGAAACAAACAUGUUCUAAGCUAUCCCCUAACCCUUUGGUAGAUGGAAUGUAUUGAUGGUCAUUCAUUUGUUCUCCAAAAUAUAUAAGUAGCUAAAUCUACCUGAAAAAAAAUUAGGACACUAUUUUCUUCCCUUUUUCUCUAUUUAAUGAAACAACAAUUAAAAAAAAAAAAGUUUUCCACAAGGGGAAUAGUAUCCCUCUACAAAAGAGGAAAAAAAAAACCCAAACAAACAAAAAAAUUUUUAAAUAGAGUUAACUUGUAAACUUGUGUGUGCAAAACCUCAGAGCACAAAAUACCUAUAUGUAAUUAUUUCUUUUUUGAAAGAUGACUAUAUUAUUAAUAUAAAUGGGUGUAACUUUAAUUUUGCUACCUCUGGUGAUAUUUUGUUCAUGAUCUAACAAAGCUUGCCUGAAGAUCAGAGUGCAAAGCUAGCCACACUAGUUAGCCAUAGGGCCAGGCAGUGAUGGCACACACCUUUAAUCCCAGCACUUGGGAGACAGAAGCAGAGGGAUCUCUAUUAGUUCAAGCUACCCUGGGCUACAUGAGGUUGAAUUUGUCUAAAAGAGAAAUAUAGCUCAUACCUUUGAUUCCAGCCUUUAAUCCCAGCACUAAGGAAGUAGAGACUGGAGUGAUAUAGCUGGGCAGAGAGAGGAAUAUUAGGCAGGAGGAGACGAGAGAGGUGCAGUCUGAGGAUGUAGUCUGACGACAGGAUCACUCUUUGGUCUGAGCAUUGGUAGAGGUAAGAACUGUCUAGUAGCUUGCUAUUGUGCUUCUCUGAUCUUUAACUCCAAUAUCUGACCCUGAGCUUUUAUUAUUAAAAACAAUUAGAAUUCAUGCUACCGCUACUAACUAUUUUUGUCUCAAAAUUAGUUACAAAGAUGGAAAUUAACUCUAGAUUUCCAAGCAAGUACAAAUAAAUUUAAAAUAUAUGCUUAAAUGUAUAUUUUAGUAUAUAGUGGCUAGUUCUUCUCUAUGAAAAGUUAAGUACUAUUAAAGUAACACUUAGUGAUGGUUCUUUUUUUUAAAUUUUUAUUUGUUUAUUAUGUAUACACUUGUCAUAGGAGGGCACCAGGAUCUCAU
ensembl:lncRNA